AUACGUAGGGGGCGAGCGUUGUCCGGAAUGAUUGGGCGUAAAGGGCGCGUAGGCGGCCCGGUAAGUCUGGAGUGAAAGUCCUGUUUUUAAGAUGGGAAUUGCUUUGGAUACUGUCGGGCUUGAGUGCAGGAGAGGUAAGUGGAAUUCCCAGUGUAGCGGUGAAAUGCGUAGAGAUUGGGAGGAACACCAGUGGCGAAGGCGGGUAACUGGACUGCAACUGACGCUGAGGCGCGAAAGUGUGGGGAGCAAACAGGAUUAGAUACCCUGGUAGUCCACACUGUAAACGAUGAAUGCUAGGUGUAAGAGGUAUCGACCCCUUUUGUGCCGGAGUCAACACAAUAAGCAUUCCGCCUGGGGAGUACGGCCGCAAGGUUGAAACUCAAAUGAAUUGGCGGGG
rnacentral:rRNA from 1 species